AGUUUGAUCCUGGCUCAGGAUGAACGCUAGCGGCAGGCCUAAUACAUGCAAGUCGAACGGCGAUAGCAAUAUCAUAGUGGCGCACGGGUGCGUAACACGUAUGCAACCUACCUUAUACUGAGGGAUAGCCUUUCGAAAGGGAGAUUAAUACCUCAUAACACAUUGAACUGGCAUCAGUUUAUUGUUAAAGAUUUAUUGGUAUAAGAUGGGCAUGCGUCCAAUUAGUUAGUUGGCGAGGUAACGGCUCACCAAGACGAUGAUUGGUAGGGGAACUGAGAGGUUAAUCCCCCACACUGGCACUGAGAUACGGGCCAGACUCCUACGGGAGGCAGCAGUAGGGAAUAUUGGGCAAUGGGGGCAACUCUGACCCAGCCAUGCCGCGUGCAGGAAGAAGGCGUUAUGCGUUGUAAACUGCUUUUAUAUAGGAAGAAAUAGACCUUGCGAGGUAAGUUGACGGUACUAUAUGAAUAAGCACCGGCUAACUCCGUGCCAGCAGCCGCGGUAAUACGGAGGGUGCAAGCGUUGUCCGGAUUUAUUGGGUUUAAAGGGUGCGUACGCGGUUUAUUAAGUCAGUGGUGAAAGACGGUCGCUC
rnacentral:rRNA from 1 species